GGGGAUGUAGCUCGGUGGUAGAGUACUUGCCUGGCAUGUGAGAGGUCUUGGGUUCAAUCCUCAAUACUUCCA
rnacentral:tRNA from 1 species